rnacentral:lncRNA from 1 species
GCAAAUCCAUUUUUUAUUAGGCGAAAAUAAAACUCACAAGUGACAUCAACUGAAAAAUGUUCUUUGAGAGCAAGUUAUUCCCAUUUAAAGCUAAGCACAUGAUAGCUGGUGACUUUUAAUGGAAAGUAAAAUUUGUUGGUCUGAAUUACUAUCAAACCACUUGAGAAUUUGUUUUUAAUUUUUCUUUUUGGAGAAAGGCAGUGGUUUGGCGUCCAGAAGAGCAGAGGAGGAAUGGAAAGGUCUAGUCUUGUCUCUAAUUGUGGCCUUAAAAGACCCUGGACAAUCUUUGGCAAAAUCAUGGUACAACAUCUCUAGGUACAUUAAUUUCCUUCACCUUUUACUUAAAGCUCAUUUAAGAAGCUGGUUAGAAACAAACCUCUCUGUUCUAGAAUUCAUUUGGGCUCUGUACCAAAACAAUUGUAUGCAUCCCAAAACCCGUCUACCAUUUCCCCAUUUAAUGGAAAAUAUCUGAUACAAAAGAACCCAGUGGUAUC